rnacentral:rRNA from 1 species
UACAGAGGUGGCAAGCGUUGUUCGGAAUUACUGGGCGUAAAGGGCGCGUAGGCGGCCUUCUAAGUCAGACGUGAAAUCCCCCGGCUUAACCUGGGAACUGCGUCUGAUACUGGGAGGCUAGAGUAUGGGAGAGGGAUGUAGAAUUCCAGGUGUAGCGGUGAAAUGCGUAGAUAUCUGGAGGAAUACCGGUGGCGAAGGCGGCAUCCUGGACCAUUACUGACGCUGAGGCGCGAAGGCUAGGGGAGCAAACGGG